ACACGACUACAUUAGAUACCCGUGUAGUCCCAGCCCUAAACGAUGCGCGUUAGGUGUAUCGGUGACCACGAGUUACCGAGGUGCCGAAGGGAAACCGUGAAACGUGCCGCCUGGGAAGUACGGUCGCAAGGCUGAAACUUAAAGGAAUUGGCGGGGAGCACCACAACAGGUGGAGCCUGCGGUUUAAUUGGACUCAACGCCGGGAAGCUCACCGGAUAGGACAGCAGAAUGAUUGCCGGGCUGAAGACCCUGCAUGACUAGCUG
rnacentral:rRNA from 1 species